rnacentral:rRNA from 1 species
ACGCUCGACACCUACGGAGGCAGCAGUAGGGAAUCUUCCACAAUGGGCGCAAGCCUGAUGGAGCAACACCGCGUGAGUGAAGAAGGGUUUCGGCUCGUAAAGCUCUGUUGUUGGAGAAGAACGUGCGUGAGAGUAACUGUUCACGCAGUGACGGUAUCCAACCAAAAAGUCACGGCUAACUACGUGCCAACAGCCGCGGUAAUCUGAGCGGGCUGGCAAGGC